GGCGCGAUAGCUCAGUUGGUAGAGCAUACGAUUGAAGCUCGUAGUGUCGACGGUUCGAUUCCGCCUCGCGCCAUCA
rnacentral:tRNA from 1 species